UACGUAGGGCGCAAGCGUUAUCCGGAAUUAUUGGGCGUAAAGAGCUCGUAGGCGGUUUGUCGCGUCUGCCGUGAAAGUCCGGGGCUCAACCUCGGAUCGGCCGUGGCGACUCGUGGGCUGGAGCACUGUAGAGGCGGGUGGAAUUCCGGGUGUAGCGGUGGAAUGCGUAGAGAUCCGGAAGAACACCAGUGGCGAAGGCGGCCCGCUGGGCAGUGGCUGACGCUGAGGCGCGAAAGCGUGGGGAGCAAACAGGG
rnacentral:rRNA from 1 species